rnacentral:rRNA from 1 species
AUUGAACGCUGGCGGCAGGCUUAACACAUGCAAGUCGAGCGGAGAUGAGGUGCUUGCACCUUAUCUUAGCGGCGGACGGGUGAGUAAUGCUUAGGAAGCUGCCUAUUAGUGGGGGACAACAUUCCGAAAGGAAUGCUAAUACCGCAUACGUCCUACGGGAGAAAGCAGGGGAUCUUCGGACCUUGCGCUAAUAGAUGAGCCUAAGUCGGAUUAGCUAGUUGGUGGGGUAAAGGCCUACCAAGGCGACGAUCUGUAGCGGGUCUGAGAGAAUGAUCCGCCACCCUGGGACUGAGACACGGCCCAGACUCCUACGGGAGGCAGCAGUGGGGAAUAUUGGACAAUGGGGGAAACCCUGAUCCAGCCAUGCCGCGUGUGUGAAGAAGGCCUUAUGGUUGUAAAGCACUUUAAGCGAGGAGGAGGCUACUGAGACUAAUACUCUUGGAUAGUGGACGUUACUCGCAGAAUAAGCACCGGCUAACUCUGUGCCAGCCGCCGCGGUAA